AGUGCUUAACAAAAGCUUAUUGACAAUCUCCUAGAAAAGGCCUUCCAAUUUCCUGAGACACAACAAUAUGAAUCAGGCCAACUA
rnacentral:lncRNA from 1 species